UGGGGAAUAUUGCACAAUGGGCGCAAGCCUGAUGCAGCAACGCCGCGUGAAUGAUGAAGGCCUUCGGGUCGUAAAGUUCUGUCCAAAGGGAAGAAUACAGUGACGGUACCUUUGGAGGAAGCCCCGGCUAACUACGUGCCAGCAGCCGCGGUAAUACGUAGGGGGCAAGCGUUAUCCGGAAUCACUGGGCGUAAAGGGAGCGUAGGCGGUUUGACAAGCCAGAGGUGAAAGGCAAUAGCUUAACUAUUGUAAGCCUUUGGAACUGUCGAACUUGAGUGCAGGAGAGGAAAGUGGAAUUCCUAGUGUAGCGGUGAAAUGCGUAGAUAUUAGGAGGAACACCAGUGGCGAAGGCGACUUUCUGGACUGUAACUGACGCUGAGGCUCGAAAGCGUGGGGAGCGAACAGG
rnacentral:rRNA from 1 species